GACAGGUGCACUACUUACUUAGAUGAUUGAGACAGGUGCACUACUUACUUAGAUGAUUGAGACAGGUGCACUACUUAGAUGAAUGAGACAGGUGCACUACUUACUUAGAUGAUUGAGACAGGUCCACCACUCACUUAGAUGAUUGAGACAGGUGCAACACUCACUUAGAUGAUUGAGACAGGUGCACUACUUACUUAGAUGAUUGAGACAGGUGCACCACUCACUUAGAUGAUUGAGACAGGUGCACCACUUACUUAGAUAAUUGAGACAGGUACACUACUUAGAUGAUUGAGACAGGUGCACUACUUAGAUGAUUGAGACAGGUGCACUACUUAGAUGAUUGAGACAGGUGCACUACUUACUUAGAUGAAUGAGACAGGUGUACCACUUACUUAGAUGAUUGAGACAGGUGCACCACUUACUUAGAUAAUUGAGACAGGUACACUACUUAGAUGAUUGAGACAGGUGCACUACUUAGAUGAUUGAGACAGGUGCACUACUUAGAUGAUUGAGACAGGUGCACUACUUAGAUGAUUGAGACAGGUGCACUACUUACUUAGAUGAAUGAGACAGGUGUACCACUCACUUAAAUGAUUGAGACAGGUGCACCACUUACUUAGAUGAUUGAGACAGGUGCACCAAGUUAUCACCUGUUGUUUGUCAACGGUCAAUAUUCUGGGAACAAGGGGAAACAACGUUCGGUUGUGUAGUGUCUAUGAGGUCAUGUGACAGUUGACGGGGCACGGAGUUGUUGCCCUUAGAUGACAACCUAUUGGCUGUUAGACACAUUGUCGCUUUGACCUUUAGGAUGUUCCAAGGUCAGUUCAAGGUCACUUGCUCAUGUAUUUAUUUAUUGCUGUUACAUUUCUGUGCGGUACAGGGUUGACUUAUUUACUGAUGGUUAUUGGUAUGUUUUUUUGUAACAUUUACUGGGUGAUUUUUUGGUCUUUUAUUCCUCUACAAGUUUUGUGAUGCAUUUUUUGAUUUGUUGAUGUUAUCCAAAUAUCCACGUCCUUUA